UACGGAGGGUGCGAGCGUUGUCCGGAAUCACUGGGCGUAAAGGGCGCGUAGGCGGCGCGGGAAGUCCGUGGUGAAAGCCCGAGGCUCAACUUCGGGUCGGCCAUGGAUACUCCUGGGCUUGAGCACUGUAGAGGCAGGUGGAAUUCCGGGUGUAGCGGUGAAAUGCGUAGAUAUCGGAAGGAACACCAGUGGCGAAAGCGGCUUCCUGGUCCAGCACCGACGUCAGGCACGAAAGCGUGGGGAGCAAACAGG
rnacentral:rRNA from 1 species